rnacentral:rRNA from 1 species
GACGAACGCUGGCGGCGUGCUUAACACAUGCAAGUCGAACGGAAAGGCCCUGCUUGCAGGGUGCUCGAGUGGCGAACGGGUGAGUAACACGUGGGUGAUCUGCCCCUUACUUUGGGAUAAGCCUGGGAAACUGGGUCUAAUACUGGAUAGGACCAUGCUGUAGGUGGUGUGGUGGAAAGAUUAGUUUCGGUAAGGGAUGAGCUCGCGGCCUAUCAGCUUGUUGGUGGGGUAAUGGCCUACCAAGGCGUCGACGGGUAGCCGGCCUGAGAGGGUGGACGGCCACAUUGGGACUGAGAUACGGCCCAGACUCCUACGGGAGGCAGCAGUGGGGAAUAUGGCACAAUGGGCGCAAGCCUGAUGCCGCGACGCCGCGUGGGGGAGGACGGCCUUCGGGUUGUAAGCUCCUUUCAGCCAUGACGAAGCCCUUGUGGUGACGGUAGUGGUAGAAGAAGCACCGGCUAACUACGUG